rnacentral:rRNA from 1 species
AUUGAACGCUGGCGGCAGGCCUAACACAUGCAAGUCGAACGAGUGGCGGACGGGUGAGUAAUGUCUGGGAAACUGCCCGAUGGAGGGGGAUAACUACUGGAAACGGUAGCUAAUACCGCAUACCAUCGGAUGUGCCCAGAUGGGAUUAGCUAGUGGGUGGGGUAACGGCUCACCUAGGCGACGAUCCCUAGCUGGUCUGAGAGGAGGACCAGCCAAACUGGAACUGAGACACGGUCCAGACUCCUACGGGAGGCAGCAGUGGGGAAUAUUGCACAAUGGGCGAAAGCCUGAUGCAGCCAUGCCUCGUGUAUGAAGAAGGCCUUCGGGUUGUAAAGUACUUUCAGCGAGGAGGCGUUACUCGCAGAAGAGGCACCGGCUAACUAUGUGCCAGCAGCCGCGGUAAUUC